GAGAAACGAAGCUCACUCACUUCAAUAAUUUCAGUCCGAGACAAGAUCUGAAGCAAUCAGUAUGUCUAUUAUACGCUUGCAAGCCUGGUGCCUGGAAUAAGGCACGCAGAGUUUAGCAAGUACCUAUCUUAUAUUGGAUUCCCUACUCCAAACCCGGUGCCCGUUACUAUUGAUUACCUCCUGCCUUAUCCGGCCUUGUGCAUAACAAAGUACAGGUUUUACUCGGCCAUUUCACCACAUCCUGCUGUGGGCCAUUGUUAGGUAUAUCCUCCUUCACUACCAUCUGUUUCCCCCACUUGUAACAUUUCCUCCCAUCCCUCAUCCAUAUUGAGCCUUAUCACCUUUUAAUUGGGGUUUGUUUUUUUAUGUUUUUGCAGCUUAUAACUACUGCUUGUCCAAGCAAAUCUGGCUUAACCUCCAUCCUCACAGCACCUUAUCUAUUUGUCUGUAACAUUGUUCGCAGGCACCUUUCAUUCUUGUACGCACAUUUUAGCUAAUACAAAAACAAUUGUAUAUUUCCUUCACAUAGUUUUCAUUCUUGUUGACUCAGCUCUUGGCUGAAACAAUUACACACUGGUGUGAGUGCAUUUACCUCGCAUAAGUAAUUCUGAUUGCAUAAGUGACACUGCUUUACCUAGAUCCCACAGAUGUUUGACCCAACGGCUGAUGGAACGGCGGUAUAUUUCCAAGCCAGGGGGGCAACCUGCAGGCGACGGUGUUCCCAACUACCUUUGUCCUUCCGGAUGGAAGUGGUCGUGGGGUUUGGAAGGUGCUGCCUUUGGAGCUCCCCGGAAGGAGGUGUACUUCAUGGGUCUGAUUGACAUCCUGACGCAGUACAACGCAAUGAAAAAGGCCGUGCACGCAGCAAAGACGGUCAGCAUGGACGGGUUGGACCGAAGGGUCUGUUUCCAUGCUGUACAUCUCUAUGACUCUAUGACAAUGACUACCACUAUGCUGCAAGAGGGCCCUCAGACAACAAUAUAUCAUCAUUGCUAAAAUCUAAAGAAUCCAUUACAGUCAAUUUAAGGCACCCUUGCGAUCUGGAUCUUUGGCCUUCAGAAUUUUGUUUUCCCUUAUAUUUAUUUUUCACGUCCAUAAUGUUUGUGCCAUCCCAUCCAUCUUUUCUCUGGAUGUCCCUCAGGGAAGGAAAUCUGUGUCCUUACCUGGCCAAUAUGUAA